rnacentral:rRNA from 1 species
UACGAACCGUCCAAACGUUAUUCGGAAUUAUUGGGCUUAAAGGGUAUGUAGGCGGCGCUGUUAGUCGGGUGUGAAAUCCCUCGGCUCAACCGAGGAAUUGCGCCCGAUACUGCAGUGCUUGAGGGAGACAGAGGUAAGCGGAACUGAUGGUGGAGCGGUGAAAUGCGUUGAUAUCAUCAGGAACACCGGUGGCGAAGGCGGAUCUCUGGGCCUGUUCUGACGCUGAGGCGCGAAAGCUAGGGGAGCGAACAGG